rnacentral:rRNA from 1 species
GACGUAGGGCGCGAGCGUUGUCCGGAUUUAUUGGGCGUAAAGAGCUCGUAGGCGGCUUGUCGCGUCGACUGUGAAAACCCGCGGCUCAACCGCGGGCCUGCAGCCGAUACGGGCAGGCUAGAGUUCGGUAGGGGAGACUGGAAUUCCCGGUGUAGUGGUGAAAUGCGUAGAUAUCGGGAGGAACACCAGUGGCGAAGGCGACUUCCUGGCCUGUUCUUGACGCUGAGGCGCGAAAGCUAGGGGAGCAAACGGG